UACGGAGGGUGCGAGCGUUGUCCGGAAUCACUGGGCGUAAAGGGCGCGUAGGUGGCGACCCAAGUCGAUGGUGAAAGCUCGUCGCUCAACGACGAGUCGGCCACCGAUACUGGGUUGCUCGAGCACUGUAGAGGCAGAUGGAAUUCCGGGUGUAGCGGUGGAAUGCGUAGAGAUCGGGAAGAACAUCGGUGGCGAAAGCGCUCUACUGGACCGCAACUGACACUCAGGGACGAAAGCUAGGGGAGCGAAUGGG
rnacentral:rRNA from 1 species